UGUCUAAGUCCUGAGGUGGUGAUACGAGAAUUUGACACAUUUAAUGAGACCAAUCCUGUCAAACCUGCAUUGUCAUGGAUCAAAAGUAAGGUGGCAUGGGGAUACCUGAAAUCAUCUCCAAGGUUCUGUCUGUCAGGUUGCAGUUUUGUGAUAGAUUCAACAGUGUCAAUGAUGACAGAUCUUUGAUGUUUUUAACACCGGAGUCGGUCAAUCCUCCUCCGCAAAUUUCCAGGGACCUCAGAUUUUUAAAGUCUGAAACACAUCAACAUCAACAUAAUCAGAUAUGUUGAAAAGUGUUCGCCAUUAUUUUAAGAAAAAAAGUUGAAAAGCUCAUCAGUUACACUUUUUAUUCCUCAACUAAAUUUUUCAAUAAAUGCUUAUCUAAUUUAUGUUAUUGUUAUCAAUUAAUAUCUGAAUGUGGAGAGUCAAGUGUUCUUGCAGUAAUAAUAUGUAGGUUCACGAUGGCAGUCAAAUCAGCUGAAUCAAAGUCCACAAGGAAUUCAAACUUUCAACAGUGCAGACCUGACAGCGCGAAAAUUAUUAUGUCUAAAUUUACCUGGAAAUUUUCCAUUCCUAAGGUAAAUGAGACCAGUAGCCAUAAUAUAUGGUCAUUCAUAAUAAUAUUCUAGGUGAUGGUGUAAUUCCUAAACUAUCUUGCCCCACAAUGGCUUGCCACAAUUAGAUUGGCAGUAUAUUUAAAGACAACUCAUUUGGCUUUCAGAUUGAAUUCACUGCUGCAAAUCUAUGAUUCUUCAACAUGCAGAUAGCUAAUAAACUUGUAUCAUUAUGUAAAGCCAGAACACAAUAAGGUUACGAAAUGUACAUCGCAAGUAGUUUGUUCCAGAGUCUGUGAUGCGAGCUCCAAAAAGAUCCAGAUGAGUUAAUCCAGUCAAAGCUGAAACAUUAAAAGCAACAAAAAAAAGGAGAGGGUUAAUUUGCCUUGUGAUCAAGAAUGACUUCUGAAUGAAAGCAUAUAAUCGUGCAUAAGAUAGAUGAAUGUAAUUGUUGCAUAAUGAUUAAUAUACCUGUAAGUUUAAUUUCAAGUCUUAUGAGUGUUCUUUACAGAUUUUUUAAAAAAUCAAUCAGGAAUUAGCACAUAUAUUCCAACAUGGUAGAUAGUUAAGCAUACUUACUUGUUAGAGCUGCUAAUCCGGUAUCUGAAAUUUGGCGAACAUCCAAAUUUAGUGAUUUUAGAGAUGUAAGUCCGGACAAUUUUCUCAAACCACUGUCGGUAAUUACAGUAAAUGAUAAAUUUAUGCUCUCCAGAUUAACCAAACC